rnacentral:rRNA from 1 species
AACAGGAUUCCCUUAGUAACUGCGAGUGAAGAGGGAAGAGCUCAAAUUUAAAAUCUGGUAGUUCCUGACUGCCCGAGUUGUAAUCUAGAGAAGCAUUAUCCGCGCCGGACCAUGUACAAGUUUUCCUGGAAUGGAGCGUCAUAGAGGGUGAGAAUCCCGUCUUUGACAUGGGCUACCGGGGCUUUGUGAUGUGCUUUCCACGAGUCGAGUUGUUUGGGAAUGCAGCUCUAAAUGGGUGGUAAAUUCCAUCUAAAGCUAAAUAUUGGCGAGAGACCGAUAGCGAACAAGUACCGUGAGGGAAAGAUGAAAAGAACUUUGGAAAGAGAGUUAAACAGUACGUGAAAUUGUUGAAAGGGAAACGCUUGAAGUCAGUCGCGUUUGCUAGGAAUCAACCUUGCAUUCUUGCUGGGUGUACUUUCUGGUCAACGGGUCAGCAUCAAUUUUGAUCAGUGGAAAAAGUUCAGAGGAAUGUGGCACCUCCGGGUGUGUUAUAGCCUUUGUUCGUAUACACUGAUUGGAAUUGAGGAACUCAGCAUGCCGUAAGGCCGGGUCAUUGACCACGUUCAUGCUUAGGAUGCUGGCAUAAUGGCUUUAAUCGACCCGUCUUGAAACACGGACCAAGGAGUCUAACAUGCCCGCGAGUGUUUGGGUG